rnacentral:rRNA from 1 species
GACAGAGGGUGCAAACGUUGCUCGGAAUCACUGGGUUUAAAGGGUGCGUAGGUGGGUUGGUAAGUCAGUGGUGAAAUCUCCGAGCUUAACUUGGAAACUGCCAUUGAUACUAUCAGUCUUGAAUAUUGUGGAGGUCAGCGGAAUAUGUCAUGUAGCGGUGAAAUGCUUAGAUAUGACAUAGAACACCAAUUGCGAAGGCAGCUGGCUACACAUAUAUUGACACUGAGGCACGAAAGCGUGGGGAUCAAACAGG